GUGGGGAAUCUUGCGCAAUGGGCGAAAGCCUGACGCAGCCAUGCCGCGUGAAUGAUGAAGGUCUUAGGAUUGUAAAAUUCUUUCACCGGGGACGAUAAUGACGGUACCCGGAGAAGAAGCUCCGGCUAACUUCGUGCCAGCAGCCGCGGUAAUACGAAGGGGGCUAGCGUUGCUCGGAAUUACUGGGCGUAAAGGGCGCGUAGGCGGACAGCUUAGUCAGAGGUGAAAGCCCAUGGCUCAACCUUGGAAUUGUCUUUGAUACUGGCUGUAUUGAGUACGGGAGAGGUGAGUGGAACUCCGAGUGUAGAGGUGAAAUUCGUAGAUAUUCGGAAGAACACCAGUGGCGAAGGCGACUCACUGGCCCGUUACUGACGCUGAGGCGCGAAAGCGUGGGGAGCAAACAGGAUUAGAUACCCGUGUAGUCC
rnacentral:rRNA from 1 species